AUCAAUAAGCGGAGGAAAAGAAACCAACAGGGAUUGCCUUAGUAACGGCGAGUGAAGCGGCAACAGCUCAAAUUUGAAAUCUGGCCCUCGGGUCCGAAUUGUAAUUUGUAGAGGAUGAUUUUGGUGCGGUAUCUUCCGAGUUCCUUGGAACAGGACGCCUUAGAGGGUGAGAGCCCCGUACGGUUGAAUGCCUAGCCUCUGUAAAUCUCCUUCGACGAGUCGAGUAGUUUGGGAAUGCUGCUCUAAAUGGGAGGUAAAUUUCUUCUAAAGCUAAAUAUUGGCCAGAGACCGAUAGCGCACAAGUAGAGUGAUCGAAAGAUGAAAAGCACUUUGAAAAGAGGGUUAAAUAGCACGUGAAAUUGUUGAAAGGGAAGGAUUUGUGACCAGACUUUUUCUGGGCGGAUCAUCCGGGGUUCUCUCCGGUGCACUUUGCCCAGUAAAGGCCAGCAUCGAUUUUCGGCGGCGGAUAAAAGCAGUGGGAAUGUGGCUCCCUACGGGGAGUGUUAUAGCCCAUUGUAUAAUACGCUGCUGGGGAUCGAGGUACGCGCUUCUGCAAGGAUGCUGGCGUAAUGGUUAUCAAUCACCCGUCUUGAAACACGGACCAAGGAGUCGAACAUUUAUGCGAGUGUUUGGGUGUUAAACCCUCACGCGUAAUGAAAGUGAACGGAGGUGAGAGCCCGUACGGGUGCAUCAUCGACCGAUCCUGAAGUUUUCGGAUGGAUUUGAGUAAGAGCAUAACUGUUCGGACCCGAAAGAUGGUGAACUAUGCGUGGAUAGGGUGAAGCCAGAGGAAACUCUGGUGGAGGCUCGCAGCGGUUCUGACGUGCAAAUCGAUCGUCAAAUCUGCGCAUGGGGGCGAAAGACUAAUCGAACCAUCUAGUAGCUGGUUACCGCCGAAGU
rnacentral:rRNA from 1 species